rnacentral:rRNA from 1 species
AACGAACGCUGGCGGCAUGCCUAACACAUGCAAGUCGAACGAGACCUUCGGGUCUAGUGGCGCACGGGUGCGUAACGCGUUGGAACCUGCCCUUAGGUUCGGAAUAACUCCCCGAAAGGGGUGCUAAUAACGGAUAAUGUCUUCGGACCAAAGCUUUAUCGCCUUUGGAUGGGCCCGCGUUGGAUUAGCUAGUUGGUAGGGUAAAAGCCUACCAAGGCGACGAGCCAUAGCUGGUCUGAGAGGAUGAUCAGUCACACUGGGACUGAGACACGGCCCAGACGCCUACGGGAGGCAGCAGUGGGGAAUAUUGGAGCAUGGGCGAAAGCCUGAUCCAGCGAUGCCGCGUGAGUGAUGAAGGCCUUAGGGUUGUAAAGCUCUUUUACCCGGGAUGAUUAUGACAGUACCGGGAGAAUAAGCUCCGGCUAACUCCGUG